GAAAUGCGAUAAGUAGUGUGAAUUGCAGAAUUCAGUGAAUCAUCGAAUCUUUGAACGCACAUUGCGCCCCUUGGUAUUCCGUGGGGCAUGCCUGUUCGAGCGUCAUUUGUACCCUCAAGCUCUGCUUGGUGUUGGGUGUUUGUCCCGUCUCCGCGCGUGGACUCGCCCCAAAGUGAUUGGCAGCCGGCGUACUGGUCCCGGAGCGCAGCACAUGUCGCGCAAACGAGUGCCUUGGUACGGCGGCGUCCAUAAGCCCCUCUCUCACGCUCUUGACCUCGGAUCAGGUAGGGAUACCCGCUGAACUUAAGC
rnacentral:misc_RNA from 1 species